AUCAACUAAAUGAGCAAGCAAAGAUCGGUCCUUCUCCUUCCCCAUACCUGCCUCCAUGACCGCAGUAUAGCCGGUUUGGAGCACUUAGUAUGCAGCCUAUCAUGUAGGGGAGUACAUUUUUUGUAAAAAGAUUGAUGGCAUAGACACAAAAUUUAUCUAUUAUGCCACAAAGUUCUAACUCAAAUGUGAUAUGUUCUCUGAGGAACAAAAAGGAGAAUUUAUGUCUGAACAGCAAAAAAAGAUAUUGAUAUGCAGAUGGAAUUUGGUUUUCAGAUUCAUGCACAAUAGAUUAAUCUUUGUGUUGUCUAUUCUGUGCAUCUCUUCUUUCUUUUUUUUAGAAAAUUUGUGCUUUUUUUUACGCUUCACUCGACUAGAUUGAACCUAUAUGCACCAAAAGGUUUUUUUUUUGCGACGAAUAGGGGUGUUUUAUUAGAUCGGAAUAAUGUUCUUACAAUCAUUUUAUACUCCGUUAUAGUUCUUCUGCUUGUCUAUGUCAUUGUAGGUUUUAGAAUAUGUAAAAUACCGCUGAAGAAUAAGGAGUUUUCACGUCAGUACUUAAGAACAGUACUUAAGAACAACACUUGUAUUUUUCGUAAAUAUUAUUUUCGUCCCCUCUUUAUAUGUUCUUUUUGGUACUCUUCAUCUCUCUUCUUCCUCUUCUUACAUGAGGCUGCCACAAUGUCUCACUCCAUCAUAGAUAUCUCAAAUCUUUACUUCUAAAUCAGAGAAGGUCGUUCGCACACCUUUUGUUACACUACAUGUCACAUUUAGCAAAAGUAUGGUUGGCAUGAGAUUGAAUAUAUAUUUUGAUUUCUUCUUCUUUCUAAUCCAAAGCAACAUACGGGUAUAGCAAAAAGGGAGUGUCUAUUUCUCGGUUGUCUUUGAAAAUAGUCAUUUCUCAGUCGACGGUCAUAACGGUCCGAUUAAGAUUUUCUCAUCACUUGUAUUUCUAUGAAUCUUGCAUGAAUCUAAGUGAUUAAAUCAGACGAUUGUAAACAUCAACUUACAAAUAGUUAUUUUUUAGUCGCCUUAGAAAUAAAAAUACAUAGACGAUACAUGUGUAAUUGGUUUUCUGAGUCUUCCGGAGGAUCUGUGUUUUCGUAUCUCGUAUCAAAUCAUCGAUAAACAUAGAGUAGAUAGGAUGCAAUCUUAGAUCUCAGCCCUAUGUGUUUUCGUAUCUCGUAUCAAAUCAUCGAUAAACAUAGAGUAGAUAGGAUGCAAUCUUAGAUCUCAGCCGCUGAGCUGCAUAGCUGGCCAUCUAUCUCAGGCGCUAUUUUGGAUCAGCCGCUGAGCUGCAUAGCUGGCCUCUAUCUCAGACACUACCUUGGAUCAGAAGAGCAGACAUACACUCAGAAGAGCAGACAGACACUCACAACCUACGACAUUAGAGCAGUUGCUGAACUUGGUUGGCUCAAACUCGCGGAGUUUGGUUGAACUGAAAAAAAUAUUCAGUUUUGAAACACGAUGCGCAGAGGAGAAACCGAAUUCAGACCGAACUUUCAAAAAAACUCAUUCGCGCGUGAACAGAACUAAACAUAGAUAUUUAACCAACUAGUUCAUCAUCAUUGUUGCAUUUAUUAGAACGGAUUACAUACACAAAAAAUAAAAAUAAAAACUACUUCUCAUUAAGCGAUAGCUCGAUGGCGGCAUCGAUUUGGGCCUGCUCGAUGGCGGCCCGGCGAGUGUCGUCUCGGCCCAGGUGGCCUUGAUGAGGCACGUGAUCUCGUCGUCCUCCUCCGGCUCUGGCGGCCCAUCCACCUCCUCCGACCGCCGCGGC
rnacentral:lncRNA from 1 species